rnacentral:rRNA from 1 species
CUUGAAAAAACUCAUAGUGUGUCUUGUUCGCCCGUACCGUAAACCGACACAGGUGGGUGAGUGUAAGCGCACUCAGGCGCGCGAGAGAAACCUCUCUAAGGAACUCGGCACAUUAGCCUCGUAACUUCGGGAAAAGAGGUGCUCACUUCGGUGAGCCACAGUAAAUUGCGUUUAGCGACUGUUUAACAAAAACACAGCUCUCUGCUAAGUCGUUAAGACGACGUAUAGGGAGUGACAAGUGACCAAUGCGGAAAGAUUAAGAGAUUUUGUUAGCCGCAAGGCGAAGCUCGGUCUUUAAGUCCCCGUGAAUGUCGGCCGUAACUAUAACGGUCCUAAGGUAGCGAAAUUCCUUGUCGGGUAAGUUCCGACCUGCACGAAUCUUGUAACGACUGAACGACUGUCUCGGAGAGGAUCUCGGCGAAACUGUAACGGCGGUGAAGAUGCCGCCUGCCCGCAGUAGGACGGAAAGACCCUAUGCACCUUUACUGUAAGCUCGUAUUGUGUUCUGGUUCAUGAUGCUUAGCGUAGGUGGGAGACUUUGAAGCGGGGAUUUCGGUUCUCGUGGAGUCGCAAUGUGAAACACCACUCUUUAUGAAUUAGGAUUCUAACCCCGAUUCCUGUUAAGCCAGGCGGGGGACAGUGCGUGCGGGUCAGUUUGACUGGGGCGGUUUCCUCCCAAAGAGUAACGGAGGAGCGCGAUGCUUGGCUCAGCAUGGUUGGCAACUAUGCGUUGAGGGUAUGGCUAUAAGCCAAGUUGACUGUAAGACUUACAAGUCGAGCAGAUGCGAAAGCAGGCCCAAAUGAUCCGAUGGUUUAAUGUGGAAUUGCCAUCGCUCAACAGACAAAAGGUACGCUAGGGAUAACAGGCUGAUCGGAUCCAAGAGUUCAUAUCGACGAUCCGGUUUGGCACCUCGAUGUCGGCUCAUCGCAUCCUGGGGCUGGAGAAGGUCCCAAGGGUCCGGCUGUUCGCCGGUUAAAGCGGUACGCGAGCUGGGUUCAGAACGUCGUGAGACAGUUCGGUCCUUAUCCACUGUGGGCGCAGGAAACUUGAGGGGUUCAAACCUUAGUACGAGAGGACCGGGUUUGACGCACUUCUGGUGUGGCAGUUGUUCCGUCAGGGGCAUCGCUGCGUAGCCAUGUGCGGAAGAGAUAAGCGCUGAAAGCAUCUAAGUGCCAAGCUCAUCCCAAGAUAAUGUUUCCCGGACGCAAGUCCCUAAAGACCACGGGCAGACCACCCGUUUGAUAGGUUAGAGGUGUAAGUGCUGUGAAGCAUUUAGCUGACUAAUACUAAUCGGUCGUGCGGCUUGAUCGC